AAGAUUAUCAAUGCGAAUUUGAAAAAUUCGCAUAUCAAGCCGGCCACUUGCCUGAUUGACAUCUCCAAGGAGCAUUCUUAAGUGGUCUGCAUGAUGGCCUUCAAACAUUGGUGCGAGCCUUUCAUCCUAUUACCUUAAUAGAUGCCAUGAAGCUUGCUAGAUACUUAGAGUGGGAGGGUUCGUUUUUAAAACCUCCACGUUCUACUCUCCC
rnacentral:lncRNA from 1 species